rnacentral:rRNA from 1 species
ACAUCCAGAGAAUUUAGCAGAGAUGCUUUAGUGCCUUCGGGAACUCUGAGACAGGUGCUGCAUGGCUGUCGUCAGCUCGUGUUGUGAAAUGUUGGGUUAAGUCCCGNAACGAGCGCAACCCUUAUCCUUUGUUGCCAGCACGUAAUGGUGGGAACUCAAAGGAGACUGCCGGUGAUAAACCGGAGGAAGGUGGGGAUGACGUCAGGUCAUCAUGGCCCUUACGAGUAGGGCUACACACGUGCUACAAUGGCGCAUACAAAGAGAAGCGACCUCGCGAGAGCAAGCGGACCUCAUAAAGUGCGUCGUAGUCCGGAUUGGAGUCUGCAACUCGACUCCAUGAAGUCGGAAUCGCUAGUAAUCGUAAAUCAGAAUGUUACGGUGAAUACGUUCCCGGGCCUUGUACACACCGCCCGUCACACCAUGGGAGUGGGUUGCAAAAGAAGUAGAUAGCUUAACCUUCGGGAGGGCGUUUACCACUUUGUGAUUCAUGACUGGGGUGAAGUCGUAACAAGGUAAGCGUAGUGCU